rnacentral:rRNA from 1 species
UUCUGGUUGAUCCUGCCGGACCUGACUGCUAUCGGAUUGAUACUAAGCCAUGCGAGUCUUUGUAGUAAUACAAGGCAUACGGCUCAGUAACGCGUAGUCAACCUACCCUAUGGACAAGAAUAAUCUCGGGAAACUGAGCAUAAUUCUUGAUAGAUCAUAAUGCCUGGAAUGGUAUAUGGUUAAAAUGAUUCGUCGCCAUAGGAUGGGACUGCGGCCUAUCAGCUUGUUGGUGAGGUAAUGGCCCACCAAGGCGAUAACAGGUACGGGCUCUGAGAGGAGAAGCCCGGAGAUGGGUACUGAGACAAGGACCCAGGCCCUAUGGGGCGCAGCAGGCGAGAAAACUUUGCAAUGUGCGAAAGCACGACAAGGUUAGUCCGAGUGAUUUCUGCUAAAGAGAUCUUUUGCUAGUUAUAAAACCACUAGUGAAUAAGGGGUGGGCAAGUUCUGGUGUCAGCCGCCGCGGUAAGACCAGCACCUCAAGUGGUCAGGAUGAUUAUUGGGCCUAAAG